GGGCGCCUGUCUGCCAGAAGCCUGCUCCGAAGACCUGGAGGGGGAGAAGACAAAAGUGCUUCAAGGAGCUGCUAGUGUUUCACCCUCCUGGAAGCGUUCAGCAGUCCUUGCUGUGUGGAGACUGGAACCAGGGGAUCGUGGCCCGUGGCAGCGUGCUGUGUGGCCCUGGAGCACGGGGCAAGGAGCUGUUGGAAGUGCUCUCUUUUGUCACUUAGCCUGGCCUAAGAGUUCCCUGUAGCUCGCACCUGCGAAUGGCACCAAAGGAGACAUUGUUUCAUCGCUCCCCAUAGCAUCCAGCCUUACCUGUGGAAAUUUGUACAGUUCUAGCAGUCUUCCAAUCUGGGCAGAAAUUGACUGUUGUGUUCCUGUAAGUGUUGCUACAGACUUGCUCUCUCUCCUACAGGUGUAAUUAGGGAGGUCCUUGUCCACCCCUGAGAGCCAAAUGAAGGAACUCUCCAAUGUCCUCUAUUCACUGUGCAGAGCUUCAUAGAGAUCAAACCCCAGAAACGUGUUGGGUAAAAGAUGGGAGUUUCUGUUAAUUUCCUCAAUGGCAAAAACCAAGGCCAGAUCAUACUGGUAGUUCUUGUAGUGAAACCUGCAUGGAGGGCUAGGGAUCCUUGGGAAAAGACUCAAACCAGGAUUAUCAUCAAAUCCAAUACAGUGACUUAAUUAAGGGUGAAUGCCCAGUCAACUCAUUCUAUCUGUGUCAACAGCUGGCUCUCCUGAAGCCUUAGAAUUUACAGCGAAAGCAAAUCACCUAACUUACGCUCUGCAAAGACGUUAAUGAAUUACACACAUGUGGAGAAAAAUUAUUCAGUUUACAAAGGAAAGUAUAAUGAAUGGAAAAGCAGGUCACAUUCAAAGUAGGUUUUGGAAAUGAUUCUUUGAUUCAAGAACCAAAUGCUUGUUCAUAUGAACACAUCAUUAAAUGCUUCAUAGAACAGUAACAAUAUUAACAUGAGAUUGGAGACAGCCCUGGGGAGGAAGAGGAAUUCUGACUUAAGGUUAGGGGGUAAGCAGAGAAGCAUGACAUCUGUGGGUUGAGAGUGGUGCAGCAGAAGGCUGGCAAUCAAAUUGCCUAAGCUUCUGCCUCAUCAAACUUGUGUCUCCGCCACCAUCAAUAAUCGGCAAGCUAAGAGGAACUUCAGAGCUUCCUGACGAGGAAUCAUCAAACGGCAGGAACAUUUGGGAAAAGCAUGAAGGACUGAAAGGACUGGAAAUGCUUCAGAAUCUAAGAGACACAGCAUUGUAAAUUUUAAAAAAUGAAAAUGUAAUUAUCAAAACUGACUCAAAUAUAAAAUAAAGAGAGAAAAUUAUACAACAGUUGCUACAUAGUUUCAAGAGAAUGUUUAAGAAAUAAAAUUCCUUGGGGCUGGCCCCAUGGCCGAGUGGUUAAGUUCACGCGCUCUGCUUCAGCGACCCAGGAUUUCGCCAGUUCAGAUCCUGGGUGCAGAGAUGGCACCGUUCAUCAGGUCAUACUGAGGCGGCGUCCCACAUAGCACAGCCAGAGGUACUCACAAAUAGAAUAUACAACUAUGUACUGGGGGGCUUUGGGGAGAAGAAAAAAAAAGAAGAUUGGCAACAGUUGUUAGCUCA
rnacentral:lncRNA from 1 species